rnacentral:rRNA from 1 species
GACGAACGCUGGCGGCGUGCCUAAUACAUGCAAGUCGAACGCAGUGGGGACGGGUGAGUAACACGUGGGUAACCUCCCAUCAGAGGGGAUAACACUUGGAAACAGGUGCUAAACCGAUACUGAUGGAUGGACCCGCUUUGCAUUAGCUAGUUGGUGAGGUAACGGCUCACCAAGGCCACGAUGAAGAGCCGACCUGAGAGGGGGACCGGCCACACUGGGACUGAGACACGGGCCAGACUCCUACGGGAGGCAGCAGUAGGGAAGAUUGGGCAAUGGGCGAAAGUCUGACCGAGCAACGCCGCGUGUGUGAAGAAGGUCUUCGGAUCGUAAAACUCUGUUGUUAGAGAAGCGGUAUCUAACCAGAAAGCAACGGCUAACUACGUGCCAGCAGCCGCGGUAAUUC